AAGGCACCAAUUCAUGUUUUUAUGGUUUCAUUUCCAGGCCAAGGACAUGUCAAUCCUCUAAUUCGACUGGGCAAACGCCUAGCAGCCAAGGGUAUUUUCGUUACAUUAUCCACCGCUGAAAGUCAUGGUUUCCAAAUGAAAAAAGUUAAUAAAAACUUAAGCGAUGAGCCAACACCUUAUGGUUCAGGUACGAUAAGAUUUAAGUUUAUUGAUGAUGGUUGGGAUUAUUCGAAGCCCGAGGGUAAUGACCUCGGGCUUUACAUUCGGCAUCUAGAGUCUGUAGGUAAACAGCUCCUUCCUCAAAUGAUUGAGGAAGAAGAGAAACAGGGUCGCCCUGUUUCUUGUCUUAUUAAUAAUGCCUUUAUUCCGUGGGUUUCAGAUAUUGCUGAAACCCUCGGAAUUCCCAGUGCUGUUCUUUGGGUUCAAUCUGCUGCCAGUUUUUCAUGUUAUUACCAUUAUAUGCAUCAGUUAGCUACUUUUCCGACUGAAUCAAACCCCCAACUCCAACUCCAACUUCCAGGCAUGCCCUUACUCAAACACGACGAAAUCCCUAGCUUUUUGCACCCUUCUUCUCCUUACACCAUGUUGAAGAAGGCUAUUUUAGGUCAAUUUGAAAAAUUGUCUAAUCCGUUUUGUAUACUGAUGGAUACGUUCCAUGAACUCGAACUCGAUCUCGUUGAUCAGCUUUCAAAAAUUUGUCCAAUUAAAACUGUUGGUCCAUUAUUCAUGUACCCUAAAUUGAUUUCCCCCAAUGGAAAGGAUAUUCGUGGCGAUUACUUCACGUCUGAUAGUGGAAUAAUACAGUGGCUCGAUUCGAAAUCAGCAUCCUCUGUUGUAUACAUUUCAUUUGGGAGCAUAGUCAUGUUGAAACAAGAACAAAUUGAUGAAUUGGCCUAUGGAUUGUUAAAUUCAGGGGUGAAUUUUUUAUGGGUAGUAAAAGAACCUUCAGUAGGGACAGGUUAUUUACCAGUAAAAUUACCAGAUGGAUUUUUGGACAAAGCUGGUGACAGAGCUAAAAUUGUCCAAUGGUGUCCACAAGAACAAGUUUUAGCACACCCUUCCUUGUCCUGUUUUUUAACGCACUGUGGAUGGAAUUCAACUAUGGAAGCAAUAUCUAUUGGUACGCCAAUUAUUGCAUUUCCACAAUGGGGUGAUCAAGUUCUU
rnacentral:misc_RNA from 1 species